rnacentral:rRNA from 1 species
AUUGAACGCUGGCGGCAGGCCUAACACAUGCAAGUCGAGCGAGCGGCGGACGGGUGAGUAAUGUAUGGGGACUGCCCGAUAGAGGGGGAUAACUACUGGAAACGGUAGCUAAUACCGCAUACUAUCGGAUAACCCAUAUGGGAUUAGAUAGUAGGUGAGGUAAUGGCUGACCUAGGCGACGAGCCCUAGCUGGUCUGAGAGGAGGAUCAGCCACACUGGGACGUAGACACGGCCCAGACUCCUACGGAGGCAGCAGUGGGGAAUAUUGCACAAUGGGCGCAAGCCUGAUGGAGCCAUGCCGCGUGUAUUAAGAAGGCCCUAGGGUUGUAAAGUACUUUCAUUCGGGAGGCGUUACCGGCAGAAGAAGCACCGGCUAACUCCGGGACAGCAGCCGCGGUAAUAC